rnacentral:tRNA from 1 species
UUUAAUAUGGCAGAAAAAGUGCGAUGAAUUUAAGAUUCAUGAAUAAAAUUAUUUUUUAUUAAAA